AAUCAACGCUGGCGGCGUGCCUCAGACAUGCAAGUCGAACGCGAAAGUCCCCUUCGGGGGACAAGUAGAGUGGCGCACGGGUGAGUAACACGUGGGUAAUCUACCUUCGGAUGGGGAAUAACAAUCGGAAACGGUUGCUAAUACCGCAUAAUGCAGCGGCACCUAAUGGUGACAGUUGUUAAAGCGGGGGAUCGAAAGACCUCGCGUCUGAAGAGGAGCCUGCGGCGGAUUAGCAGUUGGUGAGGUAAUGGCUCACCAAGGCUUCGAUCUGUAGCUGGUCUGAGAGGACGGCCAGCCACACUGGCACUGACACACGGGCCAGACUCCUACGGGAGGCAGCAGUGGGGAAUUUUGGGCAAUGGGCGAAAGCCUGACCCAGCAACGCCGCGUGAGGGAGGAAAUCCUUCGGGAUGUAAACCUCACAAGCAAGGGAAGAGAGCUCAGGGCCGAAUAAGCCUUUGAGUCCGACGGUACCUUGCGUAAGCCACGGCUAACUACGU
rnacentral:rRNA from 1 species